rnacentral:rRNA from 1 species
AUGACGGGGCAGCCGCCAAGGCUCGUGUUCCGGUUCACCCAGGCGGAGGUCGCCAAGAUGGAGGAGGUCCUCCGUGAGCUCGACGCCAAGCCCAAGCGUCCUGUCAUCCAGGGCCUAAUCGAUCACUUCAACGCCUCCCCGGACCGCUCAGGCGACGGCAAGGUCCCCGUCCAGUACAAUCAGGUGAGGAAUUGGUUCCAUAACCGGAGGUCCGCGCAAUCCCAGCGGUCCAGGAAGAUGAUGCUACCCCCUGUUAACGAGGAACACCACCCAGUGACCGGAUCCUACUCAGGGAAUAUUUCUUCGGAUGGUGGUCAUGUCCAGUUUGAAGCAAAGUCGGCUAGAAAUGGAGCAUGGUACGAUGUUGCUGCCUUUCUGUCCCACAGGUUCAUUGACACGAGGGACCCGGAAGGCAAAGAGCAGGCCUGCUAUUUUGAUGCGCAUGUUCUUCAAGUUCAAAGACGCAGGCAUGACAUAAGGGGGUGCCGCUGCAGGUUUCUUGUUUGUUAUGAUCAUGAUCACUCUGAGGAGUUUGUUCCACUGAGCAUGGUAUGCCGUCGACCAAUGCACCAGACAACCCAAAAGCCACACAAAAUGAUGAGUAUCAACACUGACAAGGUGACCGGGGGCGCGGUUCCCAUUCCACCAGAUCAAGGAGGGCCAUCUGACAAGGCGGUUGCUCCCUUACUAGACACACCUACUAGCACCCGCAGCUAUUCAGUGGCAGAUGUUGAGAUGGGGGAUGCGGAGGCUGCCCCAAACAGUGAAGCUGCAAAUGAAGCACAUGACGACACGAUGAAUCUGGGAGUGUAG